rnacentral:rRNA from 1 species
AUUGAACGCUGGCGGCAGGCCUAACACAUGCAAGUCGAACGAGAGGCGGACGGGUGAGUAAUGUCUGGGAAACUGCCCGCUGGAGGGGGAUAACUACUGGAAACGGUAUCUAAUACCGCAUACCAUCGGGUGUGCCCAGAUGGGAGUAGCUAGUUGGGGGGGUAACGGCUCACCUAGGCGACGAGCCCUAGCUGGGCUGAGAGGAUGACCAGCCACACUGGAACGGAGACACGGUCCAGACGCCUACGUGAGGCAGCAGUGGGGAAUAUUGCACAAUGGGCGCAAGCCUGAUGCAGCCAUGCCGCGUGUGUGAAGAAGGCCUUCGGGGUGUAAAGUACUUUCAGCGAGGAGGCGUUACUCGCAGAAGAAGCACCGGCUAACUCCGUGCCAGCAGCCGCGGUAAUUC